CUAUCGCAACUCGCAACGGCACGGCGGCCACAUCCCCCACAUCGUCGCCUCAGCCGCGGCGCCCUCCCGUCGGCCGCAAUGCCGCUUACCCCCCACCCCCCAGCGGCCCCCGCGCGCCGUCCCUCCUCGGCACAGGCUUCGCCAAGGUUAGGGGACGGACUGGACGCGGGUGGGCGUCGCCGGAGACGACGAGGAAGCGGCUGGCCUCGAGCCCUCGACCCACGACCGCUAUCGUGGGAGGUCGUCUCACCGUGCCCUCACGGGCCGAGGCCCGGGAGGCAAGUGUAGCCCCGAGUAACGCGUCUCCGGGAGGGGCUGGGGGGAUAUGGGCGGUGAUGAGGCCGCAGCUUGCUCGGGGAGGCCAGGGUCGGAUCCGCGCCGGAGUCCCAGUGCCUGCCGCCAUGGCGGCGAGCUUGUCCCUGUCUUGUAACCGUCACCGAUCCAGCCAUUGGGACACGAGCAAGUAUAAUUUCCUUGGGUGUUGUGGCAGAAGUACCGAAGGGUGCAAUUGUUGCCACCGGGAGCCCCACAUUCGUUGAUAUCUAAACCAACAGUGCAGCACUUCAUUUGAGAAAUCAGAGAAGCAUAUUUCUAUUCAUAAAAGCAGGCUGAGUAAUACUAGAAUUUCUUAUACUACUGAACUUGAUUGUCCUGUUUGGCAGUUUACCCCGUGGUUUAUAAUUUUAUAUUCAGUUAGUUCCAUUUAUGCAAGUGAUGAAACCGAGUUAUACUCAUACUGUCUCGACCUCGAUAUUCCCUCCGGAACCCAUGUAUAUUUUCUAGGCUUUUUGCUGAUGAUGGCUGUUUCACAGGAUAA